CCGAAGCCUCCCCAGGGCAGCAGCCACCUCAAUGGCGCAAGCUAUCGCCAUUGUCUUCCUGAUCUCAACUGUUGUCCAAGAACUUAAUAAUAUAACACCUAUGUCAAAGUUUUCAAGCAUGGCCACAAGCUCGCGCAGGCAGACCUAAUUACCAUUCCGAGGCAGUCUCAACUGUUGGCUCAAGAUCUGACGAUUGCUGCCAUUCCAAUUUCGAUUAAAAACACGUAGUGAUGACAGCUCACUGGAACCCUAACUUCACCCCUUAGGCCCUAAUUUCACUUUCCCCCUCACGUCUCCUCCUUCCUGUCUCUUUAUGUUAAUUUUUAUACUCGAAAAAUGUGAGAUUGAACUAACUGUAUCUCUAGACAUUAUGUAAAAAAAUAUGAAAAUAUCAACAAUAUAGUUUCGACAACCAUUCAUAAAUUAAAUAUUAAUAAUAUGAAAUCGGCAUGCAUGGUGUCGGGUCCAUGGUGUGCUAUCCGUGUGUUAGGCGGAGUGAGACUGAGAGAUGAUGGAGAAAGUAGAGGCCUAGUACACGUCAGUUAUUUUCUGUUACUUUCUUAAUGUUCUUUUUGUGGUUAGGCAUCUGACUGGCACAUCAUAAGUUUGUCCUGGGCUGCUCAGCUCACAUGCAAUUGAUGCUUGACAGUGACUGUCAAAACUAGUGUUGCUCGAUUUGACGGCUUAUACAUGGAUGCCUGACAAUCACAAUGAAACCUCCAUGUUCAAACACAAUCACAAUGCAAAUGCCUGCCCUUGGAUCCGACUGAUACAUUUGUGUACUGACCACUGCUGGCAACAUCAUAGCUUGUCUGCUGGCCUGGUGCGCGUCAACCACGAGGGCAGGACCAGUGACCUGGCAAGGUGAGGUGGGUCGCUCAGACAUGGUGCUUUAAGUCUGAGGUGACUCUGCUUUAUUCGUCUUUCUUUCAACAGUGUUCAACAUCCAUCGAUCAUGAUUUGUGAAGUACCUGGAUUUAUUACUUAAUAUAGCAUUUCUCAUCUAACAUUGCACAAAGACCUUCAUGAAUUCUUGAUUGCUUUUUGGAACGCGGAAAGCACAAUCGUUAUUUUCCUUUAUAAGUUCAUUAAAUGGCCAUGAACCACGAUACAUUCAUAGCUUUUACCGUGUUGGCAAUUUAUAACUAAACAUGGUCUACAAACAAGGACUCCCCUAGACCAGCAAAACGGAAGAGGAAUUUUGUAGUUGACAACCUUUUUCAAUAAUUUUAGAAUAUCUUCAUUUAUUUAUCAAUUCUAGUUUUACUAUCCGGACCAGUUUGUGUAAACGCCAGCACGGGUGCUAAUUAUAUGCGUCGGCUUCAUUAUGUUGGUAUGAUAACCGAUACAGAUGACAUUUUAGCGGUACGGAUGAGGUGCUCUCUAGUUGUAAUAAUCAACUCUUAAAAAUAUAACUUAGAAACUCGUCUUGGUCACUCGUGCUGCUUUGCAAGUUAAGCACUUUGAGUGCUAUAGUUCUUUUUAACAUGUCUACAUUGAUGGAUCGAGUGCCAUGAUUCUUUUGUGUUUACUUUGAAAAGAAGAAGAUGGCUUAGAUUCUGCAUUCAGAGUUUGAACCUACAAGUGUCAAGGGGCCAUACAUUCCUGAUUUCCUGUGUGCAUUGUUGGCUGUUGUUUGCCACUAAUAUAAUACAGACACCGUCGUACUUUCUAUUGGAUGUGGAUGUCCUAUUUUUCUGAUUCUAAUGCUUGUGCAUUUAUUAAGGAUCUAGAAACAAAAUUGACAGCGCGGCUUUCAGUUAAAAUAAUAUAAGUAAUUAGGAGUAAUGUGAUCAAUUCUCACAACUAAUAAUAAUAAUGUGUCUGAUUUUUUUCAAAAAAAAACUUAUUUGGGAACAGUGGGAUCGAGUACUCUUUUUUAGGUGCAUUUAAACUUACUUAUGCUAUUGGAUCAGGGGCGCCGGACACCACUGAAGUAUCACUAAUUAGCUAGUUCACCACGCUCCAAACCAAAAUGGAUUGAGAAAUUAAAAUGGAGCCGGAGGAGCAGUGCCUCGGAAUCGUAUCUCUUCGGCAAGCCAGGGGACAGGCUCUGGUGACGGGGCGCGUUGUAAAAGCCGCUCUUUUUGUCCGGUUCGACCUGUUCUGAAUCUAUUGCUCGAUUUGAGGGCCUAUACAUGUGCAAUGCAACAAUGGUGUUACAUCUCCAUACUCAUCUACCUAAUAGGGCACCGGCACAUGCAAUGCAAGUUCCUGCAUGCCUGCCCAUCGAUCCGACAGAGAGAUUGGUGUUAAUUAGAAUCAUAUUCGUCACUGACCAAAAUUUCCAGAUAACCAAGUCUAAUCAGUUACUGUAUAUGAUACUUUCAUGCUCAUGCCUACUGACCAUCUUACAAGUACUAUAUAUGAGUGUCCUUUUGUGGUCAGGCACUGCUGCGCGUGAACCACGAGUGGACGCCCAAUCAAAGUAACUGUGUCGUUGCGUGAGAUGCCUCCUCUCCUUGCCUCUUAAUUAUUAAGCCAUGUCCAACAACGACAACAACAAUGAUAAUAAUAAGGAACUGAGGUGAGACAGCUAUAUGCAUAAAUAUAAUUCAACAUAUGGACAAACAACAGAAUAUCUAAGACCUCCUAAUGAUCAGAGUUUUAUAUAUUUCGCUUUAUUUCAACAGUUAAACAUAAAUCGAAUAUGAUUCGUUGAGUAUCUACGAGCUUAGAACUUUUAUUAAGCGUUUAGGGCUAUGUUUGUUAGGAAUCCUUUUAUCAGUGAGUGCUGGUUGCUGAUUUGCUUCGAUCCAUGAAAAUAAGGAUAAAUUUGAAAAGAAAGCACAUAGGAAUCUUAGAGACUUUGUAGUGGGCAAUGCCUUCCAGUAGCUUCUCUUCUAAGCUAAAUUUGGCAUCAUAUGAACAAGUAGAAGCUUAGAUGGAUUAAGAGCUACAACUACAUACAAGAUGUUGAAGAAUACUCGAGUGUUUUUUCAUUGCGAAUGACCAUAAACGUUCUCUUCCUCUAGAAAUUUCUUCCAUAGAAAGAGUUUACAAAGAGACGAGCUGUGCACGGAAGACUUUGGUGCUAGCUCAAAGACGGGGCAGCUUGCUGCCUGGACGCAGCCUCGCCAUUUUGAGAACUGGUGUUAAUUACAGAGUCCCGGUAUGGAUGAGACCAAAUAUCUAAGUUGCGAGCGAUAGCCCGGAGCGUUGCAUUUGUGUCAGCAUUAUACGAGCGGAAAACCACGUUGUUGCGGCUGUUCAAAAUUCUCCACAGCACGAUCAGAAGAACAUGAUUCCAAGCGCCUUCAGAAAGGUGUGGGGGCUGCCCGCAGCUCCAUGGGUCUGCCUUUCCCGCGCCAUCAUAGGUGAUCAUCAGAGUAUCCCAAAUUGAAGCAGCAGCAGGACACUCGAAGAAGAGAUGCAUAUCGCUGAUUCCACUACCGUACCGCGCAGCCGCGAGGACAAAAGGCUUCAUCUUCCUUCAGGAUGUUUAUGUAUAUAUGUAAAUUAUCACAAAAUGUUCUGGCCGGUAAUGGUUGAAAGGAAGCAAAGCAUAGGAGGAGUGGCUAGAGUGCAUCACGUAGAGGUAGGCCUGCUAAUUGGAUUGAAAUCCAACUCUAACCCACACCAAUCCACAUCACGUUAAUUUCUUUUUUCAACCUAACUCACCCCAUAUCUAUAUUAUCUAAACCCAAACCGUUGAUAAAACUCAUGGUUUUGCUAUAUAUAUAAACCUAUGGGCUUAUAUAAAAAACUCGUAUAUAUUUGAAAUAAACGUGAGUCCACCAUGUGGGUCCUACGUGAAGAGCUAGACUCUAAAACUAAAAUGUCGUAUUCACACCUUAAAAUUUUAGCGAAAUUGAUCGAAAUUUGUUGGAGAUGACAGAGUUUGACUGCACGCUACAUUAUGCUAAAUAGUAUGGCUAAACAUACAUAGAGAAAUGAGGAAUGAGGUUGCAGGUUUGAAAGGCAAUCAAAACACUUGUGUUAAUGUCACGGAAAAAACGGUUGAGUCCAGGGGUUGCAUCACAUAUCCACCUAGGACCCUUGUGGUUGCAUCACAAUCGCACGUGUUGAAGAACGUGUGUGUGGUCCUAUAUAUUCUCCUAGAGGCACUCAGUCACCGGGGACUUCUAUUGCUCAGCUCACCAAGCUCAUAUAAUACCUAGUAGCUCGAGCACAGCAACGCACGCAGCCAUGGCGAGCAUGGAGAGCCGAAGCCUCCCCAGGGCAGCAGCCACCUCCAUGGCGCUAGCUAUCGCCAUUGUCUUCCUGAUCUACACAACCGCACGACUGGGAGAUGCGGCAUCCGUUGAGCACACGUUCAUGGUAAGUACGCAUGAUCCUGUUUCAUUCCCUUUGAUCGACUUGUCAGGCGUUAAUCGGUUAUGGUGCAACGAUAUUUACAUUGUAUUAUAGGGUGUUUUUUAAGACAAGCAUAUGCAUCGAUAAACGGUUCUAGAAAAUUAUUUUCUAAAUUAAGAUAUGCGUAAUCAACAAAGGCGUACAUUAG
rnacentral:lncRNA from 1 species